rnacentral:sRNA from 1 species
UUAAAACAAUUAUUAUUUACAAACUAUAUAUCUAGUAACUAUUUGUAUUUGUUAUGCAAUCCCCUAUAUAUUAAUGGGAAGUACUUUUAAAAAAUAACCUUAUCUCUAUGUAUGAUUAAUAAAAAUAUCAUGUUAACGUGUCAUUCUCAGAUAGCUCCUCAAUCCAUUUAAUUUUUAUUUCAACCACUUAAAACAAAACAGAUUACUUCAACAUAGUUUUUGUCAACAACAUUGAAAUAUCUUUGAAAUGAGAUAAAAUAGGUGAUUACAUACCACAUGAGAGGCUAGUUCACUCCCUUUAUUCACGAAAUUAAAAACAACAACGAAAGUUAUUCAAGAAACCCUUUCGUUGAUACAACAAAAGGGUUUCAGUCAAACUUAGGCAUUGGCGUUUCUUGGCCUCGUCUGACUAACAAACCUCCUGCAGUACAUGGGACGACCAUGGACAGAAAAGCAAACCUCAAUCCAUUUAAUUAAACACCCAACAUUUAUUAGAAUAUUUAUAAAUUUUGUAAUUUGUUGUACUUAUGAUUAUUUUUUCAAUUAAUUUAUGUUUUUAUUUUACUCAAUUAAUUAAAACAACAAUACAAAUAAAAUAUGCAAUUAAAAGAUACAAACCUAUACAAAAUGGAUCACCUUAUAUUUUGUGUAUCGAUUAAUAUAUCAAGACAUAUAUUAUAAAUCAU